UCUGGUAUAUGUCUUCUCUUGAAAUCUCCAGGGCUAUAAUUGUUCUUUAUUCCCAUCCAAUUUGAAUUCCCUGUUUCGCUGUAACUAUCAUUACUGUUGUGGAAUUGUCGCCGUUGCGAGCAUGAUUAGAGAUAGUGCCAGAUUCAGAUUUGCGUGGGAAUUGCCACUGCUGUAAGUCAAAAGGAAAAGCCGCUCACAGCGUUUAAUCUUACGAGUUUCGACAUCGAGUGACACAGGUUUGAAGAUGCAAUAUGAAGCUGCAAGUGAUCAAAAGGGAAAGAAAGGGAACGGGGAGCUCGAGGGGGAAACAGAAGGGAAGAAAGAAGGAAACGAAGAAAGAGGGAGAGGGUGAGGGAACAGAGGAAGAAGAGAGGAAUGAGGAUCACUGCGCCGUGCUGCUCCCUGCGCCGGUUGCCGUCGCUGUCGCCAGAGCCAGAGGACAGAGAGAGAACGCUCGCAAGGGAAAGGACAAACGUGAGGAGAAGGAGAGCUCGUGCGCGAAGGACAGCGCCGCUACUCCGUCGCUGCGCAGCUGUUGCGGCCACCCCGUCACCAUCGUUGUCGCGGCUGAAAGCAUAAAGUUCGAACAGAGGGAGAGAAACCGCGAGUGAAAGGUGACACUGGGCCUCUGUCGCUGCUUCUAUCACCAAGUGUCGUUGUCGUUGCCGCCGAAGGCCAAGGCCCUAUCGUUGUCAUCGAUUCUGCCCGGAGCCGCCACCAACUUGUCACUGCGAGUUAGUUACUCUGCCAUCGCUGAAUUUGCCGUGUUGAGACUGAAACUGCCACUUUGACUCUGGGCUGUAAUUGUUCUUUAUUCCCAUCCAAUUUGAAUUCCCUGUUUCGCUGUAACUAUCAUUACUGUUGUGGAAUUGUCGCCGUUGUGAGCAUGAUCAGAGAUAGUGCCAGAUUCGGAUUUGCGUGAGAAUUGCCACUGCUGUGAGUCAAAAGGAAAAGCCGCUCACAGCGUUUAAUCUUACGAGUUUCGACAUCGAGUGACACAGGUUUGAAGAUGCAAUAUGAAGCUGCAAGUGUUUCAUAGAGUCUCCUCGCUCUUGUCCUUUGAGGUUUUAUUUUAACAGAGGAGUAGGUGUUGUAUUUGGGUUUAUAUGACUUCUUAUGUAUAAGAAUUACUAUUAAUAAUACUUAUAUGAUUUUUAUUAUUAUUUGCAA